ACUGUCAAGAACUCAUGACCUGCUGCAGGGUUUGCCAAACUAUGGCUUGUGGGCCAAUCUGGCUCACCACCUAUUUUUGUAAAUAAUGUUUUACUGGAAUCCAGACACACUUGUUUGAUUACAUGUUGUCUAUGGCUGCUGAGCACCCACUAUAAGGGCAAAGUUAAGUAGGUAGAGACUUUAUCACCCACAAAACCUAAAAUAUUUGACUAGAUGGCCCUCUACAGAAAAAGCCUGUGAACCUGUGGUCUUGUGGGAGGACACUGCUGGGCACAGUUAACUCUAAUUCUUGGCUGUAGCAUCUUGAAUAGGGUGGCAGUCCCAGGCUGCUGAGGGGGACAGCUGGACGGCUGCCUCCCAGGGGCAUUUCCAUGACUUGCAGGCCCAGAAACUAGACUUGGGCAUGACCACAGAGUUCGUGAUGGACUGAAGAUGCCCAAACCACAGACUGACUUGUAGGCUAGAAAUGAACAUGUGGGGUGGAAUAGUCCUUUCGGGGACUAGAAUAAUUUCUAGAGAGUCACCCUUUCUACAUGAUACAGCGCACAUUCAAGUGUGGCUGCUUACACUGAGACUUUCUGAUGAGCACGACUAGACAGCAGGGGGCCCCCAGGAUAGUUUGUUCAGGUCAAGGUAAGACGAGAGGAGAAACUAGCCCUGUCCCUUGCUGGACACCACCACUCCAGUGCCUGAAAUCCAACCUCCCCACCCCCAUCAGCAUUCCUCCCCUGGAACAGAUUGGAAAAUGCAAGAAUGUGCUUCUUUGACUCUGGCCUUCCUCUAACAGCCCUGCUUCUGUUAACACAGCCUUUCUGCAGCUUCCUUAAUGUCAUUGGCUACAGGCUACAGCUGUUGCUAGUCAAAGGCAUUGUUCCUUUGAGCUAGCAGGCACUUUGUUCUCUCCCAUGACACAUUGUUUUAUGAGCUCACUCUAGUGGAGAAACGUUCUAUCCCUGUGCUCAAGUUCUUCAGGAGCACUUCACUGUCUCCCUCUGCCCACCCACCUGCACCUGACAGCUGUGGGCUGUGCUCUCAUGGAGGCACCGUCAGAUGCUACCAGACUACAGAGGAGAGCACCCUCAAUCCUGACUGAAGGUUUGGGAAAAGGCUGCUCAGAAGAGGUGAUACUUGAUACGGGCCCUGGAGGAGGAGAAGCAGUUUGAGAAGACAGCAGUGAGAGAUGGCAUCCGGGCAGGCGAGAAAUGUCCUGAGCACUAAGGGUACAGUCAAAAAUGAUGAAUCCAGAAAUGAUGCCCUCCAGAACUUCUGGUGAGGAAGGCACUCAGGAAAAUGCAGCACCCUAUGGAGGCCCAGAAAGGAGGGCAUUCAGGAAGAACACAGUCUGAUGGUGUCAACUGCAGUGGAGGCUAAGAGAUACCGUUAUAUGUGCUCAUGUAAAUUGUCUGGCAAUUAGCUGCAAGAGGAUUGUAGGAAGAGAGUCUACCUAUCCAUCUCUUUACACCAUGCCUUCUGAAGAGAAGAUUUUAGGAGAGAAUCCUUGGAUUUAGUCAGGAAUAUUAGAUCCCUAAAUAAAAAUGUCUAAAAUCCUU